GGCUCUGUGUGAAUGGAAUGUCUGGGAAACCAAGAAACUAUUUGUUCAAGGCAAUAGCGUGACUAGACACUAGCUCUACUAUUUUCUUUGGGUCUAUUAUAGAUAAAGACGUGUGUUCUGCUUCGAUGAAUGUGAGAUACAGUAGCAAACUGCGAAAGGAAAACAACGUCUUCCUUCUAACAGCAAACACUGUGAAAAACGUGUGCACCUUCUGACUAGGGGAUUUAGGACAUGAGGUCUUGGCCCACACCUCCUGGAUGUGUUGCAGACCAAAACGAUCCCUGUCGAUUCCAGCUUCCAGUCUGAUAACCACCCCCCCAGCACCCCCCUCCACAAGGUUGUCCCUGUCCUUGUCCAUCUGGUCAUGCUUCUGACCUGGAUUCAGUUUUAUAGACUCUGGACACAGUCUAAAUGCAUUUACAAUUUUUUACAACUUGCACUCUUAAAAUUGUCACCUGGCACUGCCAGAAGUGGACUGGUCACCCCACCG
ensembl:lncRNA